GACAUGACUCUCGGCAAUGGAUAUCUCGGCUCUCGCAUCGAUGAAGAGCGCAGCGAAAUGCGA
rnacentral:rRNA from 1 species